rnacentral:rRNA from 1 species
UACGUAGGGGGCAAGCGUUUGUCCGGAAUCAUUGGGCGUAAAGCGCGUGUAGGCGGCUCGGUAAGUCUGCUGUGAAAGUCCAGGGCUCAACCCUGGAAUGCCGGUGGAAACUGUCGGGCUAGAGUGCGGUAGAGGAAGCUGGAAUUCCUGGUGUAGCGGUGAAAUGCGUAGAUAUCAGGAGGAACACCUAUGGCGAAAGCAGGCUUCUGGACCGUCACUGACGCUGAUCCGCGAAAGCUAGGGGAGCAAACAGG